CAGAGUUCUUGCCCUUCAGGGUAGAUCUCCCACCCGUGUAUAGUUAUACCUUUGUUGCUUUGGCAGGCCCGCCCCGGCCACUGGCUCUAGCUAGUGAGUGCCUGCCAGAGGACCCCCAACUCUGAAUUUAGUGUCGUCUGAGUACUAUAUAAUAGUUA
rnacentral:misc_RNA from 1 species